GGAGGGGUGGCAGAGCGGACUAAUGCGCUGGUCUUGAAAACCAGUGAUGCGCAAGCAUCCGGGGGUUCGAAUCCCCCUCCCUCCG
rnacentral:tRNA from 1 species